UAAAGUUGUUGCGGUUAAAACGCUCGUAGUUAAUUUAAGAAUUGAGAACAAGGGCUUGUUGAUAUUUUAUGAGAAUUAUUCAAACAUAAUUAUUUAGUUUGGAAGGUUUUCAUUGAAGUAUUAAUCUUGGUUCUAAACUUUAUUUUGAAUAAUUUUUUAAUUAUUUGAAUGAGUGGUGAAUAAGUGUUUGCUUUUUGAUUCGUCCCAUUAGAUAUAUAUAAUUUAAUUUAUUUUAUCUAAUUUUCAACUGUGAGAAAAACAAAAUGCUCAAUAUAGACCAUAUUGAUUUUUAAUUCUUUUAAAAAUCUUGUCCGAAUGUUAUAACAUGGUAUUGAGUAAAAGUGAUUUAUUUCUUUCGAGAGAUAACCUUCGUCAAUCAGGAACGAAAGUUAGGGGAUCGAAGAUGAUUAGAUACCAUUGUAGUCCUAACUGUAAACUAUUAUGACAAAAGAUUGGCAUGAGACCUUUUAUCCAGAUCCCCUCAGAAUUUACAGGAAACUAAAAGUUUUUGAUUUCCGGGGGAAGUAUGGUCGCAAGGCUGAAACUUAAAAGAAUUGACGGAAGAGCACCACCAGGAGUGGAGUUUGCGGCUUAAUUCGACUCAACACGGGAAAUCUCACCAGGUCCGGAUACUAUUAGGAUCGACAGAACAAAGUUCUUUCGUGAUUUGGUAAUUGGUGGUGCAUGGCCGUUCUUAGUUCGUGGAGUGAUUUGUCAGGUUUAUUCCGAUAACGAACGAGACCUUAAUCUAUUAAUUAGGCUGUUGGUAAAUGAGUUAAAUCAUUUAUUAAUUUCUACGGAAAUCAACACAAAUAUCAAUGGUAAAACAUUGAUUUGCUUCUUAGAGAGACAAUACAACGUUUUUUAUAAUUAGUGUAGGGAGGCUUGAGGCAAUAACAGGUCUGUAAUGCCCUUAGAUGUUCUGGGCAGCACGCGUAUUACAAUAUUAAUACCAACGAGCUUAUCGUGGUUAAAAAUAAUGCCUGCUCUAUUUUAAAACAAGAGUGGGAAAACUUUGCAAAUAUUAAUGUGACUGGGAUAGCUGUUUGGAACUACAUCUUGAACGAGGAAUUCCUAGUAAACGUAGGUCAUCAACCUACAUUGAUUUAGUCCCUGCUCUUUGUACACACCGCCCGUCGCUCCUACCAAUGGAACGAAAAGGUGAAUUUGAAGGACUUUCCAUUUAAUUUGGGAAGAAAUUUAGCUAAACCUUUUUGUUUGUAGGAAGGAGAAGUC
rnacentral:rRNA from 1 species